UGAUCCAAACUAUUCCAUCACCAGCACUGUCUGCUGCCUGAUGAUGCUCCGACCAUUAUUUCUGAGA
rnacentral:snoRNA from 1 species